rnacentral:ncRNA from 1 species
ACCGGUUCGGCCCGUUGAAGGCCGAUUAAAAGGGAAUCGGGUGUGAGUCCCGAACAGUCCCGCUGCUGUGAACUCCAUCGAAAAGGAGCCGAGAGACAAGUCACUGAUCCGUGCGAUUGGGAAGGCCUCGGCUGCCGGAGUGAGUCAGAAGACCUGCCGUGCGUAU